GUUUUAGCUUUUAACUUUUUUUGCUUUUUGCCACACUUCAGUGUUUUAGAUUGUCAGAUAAAUUGUAUUAAUAAAACAAAGUAAGCCUGGCUAAAUACAAACUGCAGUUUUCAACUGAUUUUACUUUACGGGGGAAAGUUAUUCAAAACAGUCUGAUCCUAUGCAAAAAAGCAUUUGUCCCCUUCAACUUGACAGAUGUCAUCGGCCAUUUGUGUUUACAUCACUGUGGAUGAAUUUUGCCUACUUUACUUUGCAAAAUAUUUUUGUCAGUCGACAUUGGAGGGGCUGAAGCCUGCUUAAGGCAGUACCUCAAUCCACUUUCAGACUUUGUCUGGGCCACUCCAAAAGUUUAAUUCAUUUAAUUUAUUUUAUUUUAUUUUAUUUUAUUUUUUUACCUUUUAGACAUGAUGUGCUGAAUAAUGUGCUGUACUUUAGUGUUAUAUUGUGAAUUGAAAGCUGGAAAUCCUGGACAUCAGGAUUUUCUGGUAGUCAGAAAAAUUCACGGUUUCAUCUUUUACAGCAAAAUCUUUUAUCCUACUUCAUGUUGUCAGAUAGGUGUUUAUCUGACAACAUGAUUGUUUCUGCAGCUUAGCCAGUAAUAGAAUCAGUUAAUUUGUGAACUGCUAUCCCGUCUUCCUGCAACAGGAUGCUGUGGAUAGCUUUUCCUCCCAUAAUAAAUGAAACUAUUACUUGAGAACUGAAUUUUCCAUUUACUCAGCUUGUCUUUUCUUAUAUAAAGUUUGCUUGAUGGUCAGAAACUUGUUGGUUUUACAAUAAAAGCUCAAUCAAUUUCCAUGGCAAAAUUUUGAUAGAAGUAAAAUUUUAAAACGUUAUAUGUAUGAUUAGCUAACAUCUAAAUGUUUCUUAAAUAGAAUAUUCAUAGAAUGUAUUCUUGAUUUCAUUUUUUAAAGUAAAUAUAAAGCCCAUAGAAUCCCAAGGACGAAAACUGGGGGUAAUACUGAAUAUUAGAAAAGCUGAAUAUUUAUCAAUUAUGCAACAGAAAAUUAGUUUCUGAGAACAAUGUGACUCCUAAAAUAGAAACAAAGGCUAAUGCAGCUGCUAGUAAUCUUGAAAUACCUGUUCUGACAUUUUAUAGCCAUCGGGUUUGGAGUAAUGAACAAAUGACAGGGCCUUUGGGCUGACCUGCUGGGCAAGUUUUGAUUUGUUUCAGCCUGCAUUAUAUGAUCCGCUCUACCCAGCUCUACUGGAAGUGUGGAAACCAUUACUGAAAGGAAGGCGGAAAAGGGUUAAAUGCUGCAAAGCUGUGAAGGAUUUUAUAAGGACGCAAAAAAACAAGGGUGGAGCUCCACUCUGCUUAUUUGCACAACACUUUUCAAACUCAAAGUGCUACAAGAAGCACUGCUAACAUAAAAAACAAAUAGGGGCAACUAUAAAGCAAAUCUAAGCUGGGAUACAAGUAUCACAUGAGUUACUCUCACCAUUAGACAACUCAUGUGAAAGAGAGGUUUUAAGCUUUGUUUUAGAAGAAGAGGGGGUGUGAGUGAGCCCCCUAGACAGGAAGCUGAUUACAGAGACAAGGGAGCAUUUAAAAUUAAAAGCUCUUGUUUUAGAAAUUCUGGGAACAACCAGCUUACCCGCAUACUGAGAAGGAGGGCUCUCUGUGGGACGAUAAAUGACAGAGACAGGAUGUGGUUUGGCCGUUAAGAACUUACAGAGGAGUCAAUUGUUUGAACCUCGGUUAAAUUCCUAUGUUAGAUCAUUUAAAAAGUAACACUAUUUUUGUAGUUAUUUCUUUGAUUUGUUGGAAAGCAGCUGAUUUCCAGUCAGCAAUAUAGAGAACACUAAGCCUUACAAAACUAUUUGUAGGCCUGGAAAGUUUUAACAUUCUGACACAAUGAAAACGGAAAAAUGUCACAUACCUUAAAGAAGUAUCUCUGUCUUUCAGCUUUACAUCAAAACGCAAUUGUGAAAGACAUGGCCUCUCUGGAAUCUUUAAAGGUUGUCAGAAUCCCUGAGGAAGGUUUUAACUACAGACACAGAAAAAAACAUGGGCAAAUCAUAAUCAGCAAAUAAAUGGAGCAGCCCUGCAGAGCAUGAGACACAAAAAGCUAUUUGCCAAUAAUCAAAAUUUCAAAUAAACAAUUAAGUGGUUUUUGUGUGCACAUGGUCAUUACUUUGUGUGUAAAUGUAUACCCAAAGGGAGGGAUGUUUGUACUCUGCAUGGAUAUUGUAGUUUUAAUUAUGUUAUUAUACAGAAAUGGAGUCAGUGUCAGAAGCUGUCAACAUUUGUCUGUACAACAAACGCUUUACCUAUGAUUUUUAUUAUAAGUAUAAAGAAGGUAUGUAUAUUUAUAAAAUUCAAAUGUAUUCACCAGUCAAAAAUAUUAAAUAACAUCAGGUUCUAUUUCUAAACUAUUGAGUAAAAACAAUGUAACGAUGCAGCCUGUAACUUUACAAUCUUAAUCUACAGGGUAAAAAGUUUAAGUUUGUUACAUAAAAAGUGUAUAUUAUCUAGGCUUUUUAAAGGCAUAACUAGUAUUAAAUAUUUUCUUGGUGUUUCUUCAGAGUUUAAAGAAAUGGUUUCACAGUCUGCUUUGGAGUUCUACUACUUAGCUUUAAUUUAAAAGGUGAGCAUUUGGGAAAGGAAAUAAAAAUAGGAAGACACAAUGUUUUAAAAACUGCUUGUCAGUUCUUGUCCAGUCAGACUUCUUUUUUAUCUUUGCGACUCUGUCAGAAAAAACGAAACUGCGCCAGCAGCCGGCAGGGACAGUUUUCAUAUCUUUGUGUACAACCAUUCAGAAGUCAGAAGCGUGCAGAGUUAUGUAAUCACACUGGGUGGAUCCUGGCUGCUGUGUGUGAUAAUGGAGGGAGGCGUUGUCUGCAGUAUAAACAUACAGUCUGUCGCUCUCAGUCUACUGUACUGACAAGUUAAAUACAUGUUUAUAGCUUCUGAAGAGGUUAAGCUAUCUCAGAUUUAUACAAAAUCAAGAUAAAAAUGAUUGCCUUCUGCAUGAUCUUUUGGCUCAAGCUAAGACAAUAAUUUUUUUCCCACUCCGCCGUGAACCCUCCGUCAGUAUAAGUGUGGAAAAAUAAAUCAUCAAGGUAAGUGUAAGGUCGGAUGUGCUUGACUGACCUCCUGGGACAGAGCCACUGGGAUUUAUGCUACACUGAGACAGAUGUUCCAGGUGCAUCAGCUGCUGAACUGAGGUUUGCUUCACCCUUUGGGAUUUCACACUGUCACAUAUGUCACAUAUGGCAUGUGAAAAUAAAGCAGCCAAUUUCAGCCAUUGAUGCAGUGUGCAGAUGUUAAACUCUGCAUGGCAACGUAUAUUUAGGCUAUGCAAUAAACUUCACAUGAACACAAUGUUUUUUCAUACUUACAGGAGAUUGCUGGCAAGUCGAGUUGUCAGAGCUGUAUCAAGUAUGUUAUUGAGAAUUUAUUUUGUUUUAUUUUGAAAAAUAUAAUUUUUUUAAUAAUACAUAUUAAGUCUUUACUUUUCCCAACUGUAAAUCUAAAAAAAAAUUAAUAAUAUGUUUUACUGUUUAAAUUAUAUUUAUAGAUGAGAGUAUCAUUAACAGACAGGAGGUUCAAUCAAUCUACAAAAAUAGAGCAAACUUUCAAGUUAUAGAUUAUUAUUAAUUGUUGGUAUUAGAUAAUCAGAACAAUACCAUCAUUUUAGUCUAAAACAGGAUAUUGUGAAAAGUUUCUUCCUUUUAAUGCACAGUUCUUCCUCUCUAUUGUCACCUUCUGCUAUUUGAGUGGUUGGAAUGGGGGAAGAAGCUUGAUUUCAUGCAAUCUGAUAUGUAUAUCACAGCAUUUAGCUGGAAUGUAUCCUCCUACUAUGAAUAACUCAAUAUACUGUAUAUAAAUGCAUUAAACUGGGUUGCUGUAAUUGCUUCGUUUUGAAAUAUUUGCAUAUUAUACACUAAAGUGGACUAAAAUUGGUUAAACUGAUAUUGUUUGUUUUCUUGUUGCAGUGUCCUAACACAACCUUAAUAGCAAAUAAAUUCAAUAUUUAUAAGUGAAAAAAAUUAAAUAAAAUCUCUUGGCUCACAAAAAGCCAUAUCAUAGAUUAGUGUUGAGUCAUUAUACCCUGUAGGCUCGACUCCCAUGUUAAAGGAAGCACAGCUACACAUCACAGAUACCUUUCUAAAGAUGGAUAUCUUCACUGGGUCAGAGAUCUCCUUUUGCAAACACAGGCAAGUUUGCCAACUUCUAAACUUGGCCCGUCUCAGCUGUUCCUUGGAUGCAGGGCCAGUCCAAGCUACAAACAGGUGCUCAGGUCCUCCUCCUGCUGGCUGGAAGGCCCCAUGAGAAUAUAAAUUGAUACCAGUCAGGUAGAUAAAUGCACCAGCUUCACACACAAUAAGAAAAAUAGUAAUACUUAUGUUAACAAAGUUAUAAUGUAAAACUAAAUAGGUAGUUUCUGCAGUUUCUGUCAGAACUAUGAACACAGUUCAAUGAGUUUUUCCAUAUCUGAUAACAGUGACAGAGUAAUGGCUUUUGUUUGUGAAAACAACAAUAAGUUUGGUCUUUCAGCUCUAAAAAGAAACAAAUUAGAAAUAAUCAUUUUCAGUUUAUUAUACUGUAAAACCGUGCAUUUCUUCUGAUAAUCUGUUGCUACUUGUUCAAGAUUAGAUACGUUUCUAAACUGUUGUGAAGGGUGAACGAAACAUGGCACAUGAUUUUAACUAUUCAAAAAAAGAACAAAAAAACAACUGAAAUAUGAAAAGUGUGGCAUGCAUAUUCCAAGUUUUUGCAUUUUAUGACUCAAAUGUUCUGCAUGUUUCAUUUUUAAAUUUUUCAUGGGAAUGAUUUAAAAACAAAAAAAGGGAAAAGAGAAGCAUGAAAUCCUGUUGACAAAUAGCACUGAAUGCCAAAGAGCUGCGGACAUGUGACUCUUCUGCUGAUUUGUAGCUUUACUCCAUUAGUUUCUCAGUGCUGCGUCUUUAACUGUGAUCGUGAUGCGUUUCGUUGUGAUCUUUAGCUGUUGCAUGUUCAACCCCUUUUACUUUGAUACCACUAAAUAAAAUCCAGAGCAACCGGCUGUUUAGAACUCAACUAAUUUAUAGAGAGAGUACUUUUUGAGUUUCUAAGUUUGAAUACAGUUGGUCUAUGAAGGUGUCAAAUAUUUUCACUACUCUGUAUUAAAUAGUUUGAUAAGUGUGAAUUGUUUUGUAAGAAUUCUGGUUAGGGCUUUAGAGAACUUUGGGAUAGCUAUGCAAAACAAAGCUUUUAUCCAACUAAAUGACAUAGUUCCAAAUAGCACGUUUUUGAAAACAUGAAAAGGUCUUUAAAACAUCUGGUGCACUCUAAAGUUGUGAUACAAAAGCCACUGUGAAAGAACUAAAUAGCGCCCUCAUGUGGAACUAGGAAUAAAGUUCGUAAGUGUGUUUUUAUUUGCAGACAUGAGUUUAUGACCUAACCUUAGGUUUAUUAUUCACUGAAAUUCACUGACAUUAGUUUGCUAAUUGUUGAGACUGAAUCACAUGUCUGUUUGAAUGAAGGCGCAGACUCACCUGACGUGUUAAACUUAAUAUUUUCACGCACAAGCAUGAAGAUUUUUAGAAGGAUCAUUUAUCGGUACUGUGUAUGGACCACCCAGCAACCUGAGCCAUUUUUUAGGCAGAGCUUCCACCUUCUGAUCUGAUCUCCACCCAUCCCCAGCGAGUGCUUCGUCAUUGCAGCUGCGUCACCGCCUCUCUCUCGGUCUCUGUCGCUCUCAGUGGAAACCUGAUCGAUCAGUUUCUGAGUUGACCCAAAGGCGAGCAGCAGGAUUAUGACAUGGAAUAAAGGUGGGGAGAUCCCACGGAGGAGCCACCUAUCAGCUCAGAGGCAAGUGCUGUGAACGAGGCCGACACUGAGGGCAAACAGAAAAGCAGCCGCGCACCACCAGAAGCCGAAUCUGUGCAACAGGAAACGACUGCAACUGAGCAGGAGGGGGAGCAGUCGAGCAAGAAGGCCCAGGAGCAGGCUGCUGAGCCUGGGCCUGCGGACGUAGCUACCUCCCCAGAGGAGGAGCAGCUCAAACCUCGUACCAGGACCU